UACAGAGGUGCCAAGCGUUGUUCGGAUUUACUGGGCGUAAAGGGUGCGUAGGUGGUUGGGUAAGUCAAAUGUGAAAUCCUACAGCUUAACUGUAGAACUGCAUUCGAAACUGCCCGGCUAGAGUACUGGAGAGGAGAUCGGAAUUCUCGGUGUAGCAGUGAAAUGCGUAGAUAUCGAGAGGAACACCAGUGGCGAAGGCGGAUCUCUGGACAGUUACUGACACUGAGGCACGAAAGCUAGGGGAGCAAACGGG
rnacentral:rRNA from 1 species